GUCAGCUGGUUCAAGUGCAAAAUGAAAAUAUAGUUCCCUGGUACUGCAAUGACAGUUUAAGUAGUUUCUUUUCCUGACUGUAUCUUCCAAUGCUGAGUCCCUGAAAAUUGCUUGCAAGGGUGUGAAGUGCAUCAAAUCAGAUCAGAGAACUGAUUUAGAUAAAUAAAGUCAAGGAGAGGGAAGUUUUGUUUUUAAUCUUAUUUUGUUCCCUGGUCUGGGAACAGGCAAGGGACAUCCUUGUCUGUGGCUGUGUGGGUGCAACAUGAUGCAGAAAACGAUCAGAAGACUACAAGCAGCAGUGAGAAGCAGAAAGAGGAGGCACUGAACACUUCUUGUCUUGAAACUGGGCACUGUCACUGCAAACAGCUGAGGUGGAGUACUGUCAGAGGAAGUUUAUGAGAUAUGUGAAAUGAUAGCAGAUCUGCAUCUGCAAGAAAGGCUGAUCUAUUGCAGCAUUAUCGAGGAGUUCACUGCGAUGUGCCACAGCAGCAUUAUGGUGUUCAACAAGGUACAGAGGUUCCAUAUAUGGCAAACAAAUGUCUUCCCUGCCCAGCUGAGUCAGUCAAGUGACAAGAACCACUGUAGAAGAAAUGAAAGACUUUGAUCACCAUGUAAGUGAAGUGAUUUAAACUUCCUUAUUUUCGCACCAACUUCUAGCUGUCACUCUCAUUCCCUGCUCUUUCUCAGUAGGCUUUAC
rnacentral:lncRNA from 1 species